CGAGCAGCUGAUCCCCCACCCCAGCCAACCACCCCAUAUUAAUUGUUCAGCAUGACAUCAGAUGGUAUGGAAUACCCCUUUGGCCAGUUUGGGUCAGCUGUCCUGGGUCUGUCCCCUCCCAGCUCCUGCUGCAUCCCUAGUCUGCUCGCUAGCAGGACAGAGCAAGAAGCUGAAAAGUCCUUGGCUUGGUGUAAGCACUGCUCUACAACAAUUGAAACAUCAGUGUGUUAUCAAUAUUAUUCUAAUCCUAAAUCCCAAACGCAGCACCAUACCAGCUACUAGGAGGAAAAUUAACUCUAUCCUAGCCAAAAGCAGGACAGAAGACUCCCUAUUUUC